rnacentral:rRNA from 2 species
UAUUGAACGCAUAUUGCGGCCACGGGUCCGUCCUGUGGCCACGCCCGUCUGAGGGUCGGCGACGUUCUACCCAUCGCUGGGAGGCUCGUGCCCAGCGCCUUGAGCUUUUCGCAGGCUACUACUAGACUAGUAGUAUAUAGACUGCGUGGCUUCAAAUGCAGACCUGAAAUGUUUGUUUGUUUGCCUUGCUUUGCUGUUUUUGUUGCGGAAGAGACCUCAUGCGAGCAAAGGACAUGGCUCGGAUCGUUGGUGUGUCUGUCUUUGCUCACGACCACGACGACGACGACGAAGGCAGGCAAGGCAUCCAUCCCAAAUUUCCGACCUCAGAUCGGACGAGAUUACCCGCUGAAUUUAAGCAUAUCAC